CCUAGAGAAGUGGUGGUCCCAUUCAUCUGUCUUUAGAGAGCCUCCUCUAGCAGCUUCUGGAAUCCCAGCCACAGGUUAAGAGUCUCUGCUCAGCACCAUGCUGUGCCUUUGCCGACCAACCUGCCCCUGGCUACUGUGCAGUUUUCCAUACUCCUGUUUCUCACCCUCAGGCCUCCUUCAAGCUCAUCUUGAGACCUGUGGUCAUAGGAUGUCCUUCUAUUCCCAUACCCCAUCACACCUGGGAUUUCACAGCAUGGGGUGCAAAGACCUUGAAACCUAGUGGGGCACACAGCUCUCCAGUUAAGAGCUUCAGAAUCAGACAGAUUUUGGACUUGCCACUCAACUUGUGUGAGCCUCAGUCUUGCUUUGGUGACUUUGGGUUAAACGGAAAGGCAGACCCAGCAGCCUGAGGCUUGUGGAUCAGGAUCUGGUGAUGAAGGAAUAACUGUAACUUAUGACCAGAUUCCACCUUGGAGAGCCUUGUCUAGACAGAAGCCCAGCUCCUGGAGGAAGAGGCAUUUGUUUUUGUUGGGAUGGGGGUAUCUCCUCAGGAACCAUCCUCUCUCCAGCCCCUGGGGAAAGAGCCAGGCUGUACGGGGAGGGGAGCCCCCUGAAAGCAGCCCUGAAGGGUGCCAGGCUUGGCAGAGAGAGGAGGUUCAGGCAGGACUCCUGAGAACCAUGGGAGGGCAGGGAUUCUACAGAGUCCAUGGCAACAUCUAUAUACCAGGUUCCUCAUAUGUAAACUGGUGCCAUGAGGCUGCGUGACACAGGCAGAGAAGCAGAGCUGGAGAAGCUGUCACCGAGUGUUAGCACCCCAGCAGUCUCAGACACCCAUUCUGUUGAUGGAGCUCCUGCCACCUGUCUCACCUUCUAUAUCCAUGGCCUCACCCAAUGGGCGCAACAACUGGCAAAUUCAGGAGGGCUGACACCAAAGAAAUUUUAGGGAGCACUGGCUUUAGUAGCUAGAGGAGGCAUGUGUAGGACCUGGCUCUCCUGCAGAGGUUAUCUUUCCUGCCCUGGAAGCCAUGAAGCGGUCUGCAUCUGGGAUAAGGAGAAGAGGACCUCACACAGAGCACCCCUGGCAAUUCCUAAGCCUCCCUCAUAGCACAGCAGUGAUGAGGUGGCUCAGCCAGGGGAAGGAAAGGCGAGAAUGGGCUCCUGUAGUGCAGUGUGAGGAGCUGACCAAGACCAACUGCUUCACGGACUUCCUCGUGGCAAAGAAAGGCAUUCUGUGUGGCCAGCCCAGUUCUCCCUUCCAAACUUAAAGCCGAAACAUGCUCCUCUAACAACCAUGUUUAUUUCAGCCUAUAGCUGUGCUGGUGGGAAAAACUUGGCUCCUUGGAGCACCUCUUGUUGUGUUUGAGAACAGUGCCUGCCCCUUGCCCCCCUUUCCCUUCCUAAGGCAGCAUCCUCAUGCAUUUCAGAAUGCCCUGGGGGCUGGCUAAGCAGACAGCGCGUGGUCCCGCUCAGGACUCGGGAGGUCUGCUGGCCAUGAGACCACACCUGGAGAAAGCUGAUCGGGAGUGACGGGAGGUUGCCUCUGCUUCAGGGAGGUUGUAGUGACAAGUCAUAGUCUCUUGGGCCACUUGGGUCUGGUGCUUGUCAAUGGCUGUGGUUUGUACUGUGUCUGCCCUUGUCCUGAGCCAGGAACAUCAUGUCCACACUUGGGCUUGGCCUUCCACCCACUCUACAUGUGGAAGGUGCUCAGAUCCAUGACCUUUUCUGUGUAAGAGGGGCAGUGAUCACCAUGCGUGGUCACCAUGGGGCUGGGGUCCAUCCUGCAUGGUGCCAGCUGCUCUCCUGCUGAGUUGUGAGCAUGAACCAGCUGAACCCUGAGGCAUCGGACUUUCUCCUUGACCUCUGGAAGGUACAGGCCCAAGCUGGAGUUUAAGUGAGAGGAAAAAAAUCUCCAAGUAGGACAGCAGAGUGAGGAGGGCAGUACUUGCAUUUCUACCACGUGCCUGGAACUUUUCAUACAUUUGCUCAGUUAAUGCUUGCAGGACCGUUCAAUGUGGGAGCUGUUAUUCCUAUUUUACAGAGAAGAAAGCUGAGGUCCAGGGGGCUUGCUGAGAAGUGGAAGAGCUGACCUGUGAACCCAGAUUUGCCUGUCCUGUGUCCCCUGCAGAGCCAUAGGCUUCCCAGUGCAGUGUGGAAUCCCUGCAGCACCCUGGGCAACUUCCUGAGGUCCCGAGGAGCUGGGGUGAAGCCUGUGUGCCUCUCUAGGCAUGCUCGGCUUUCCUAAGGAAGGUUUCUUUUUCCUAAGAAAGGUUUUGACUCUUUGGUGAUGGGAUGGCCUCCUUUCUAGGGAUUCUGUUGGGUGGUGAAGAGAGCUGUAGGUAUCAGUAGGCAGUGAGGACAAGACAUGGGUGUUGCAUUCAGAUCUCAAGCCCCUCAUUCACUGUGCAUCCUUGGGCAAAUUACUCAAUCUCUCCAAGCUGCCACGCCUGCCUCCAUGAGAGGGUUCACAAGACCCACCAUGCUGGAUGAUUGAGAAUGAGACCAGACACUCCAAAGCUUUGCACAUGGGAGGUCCGCAGGCAAUGAUUUCCACAGGGGAAAUGGUGGGGAAACUGAGGGCAAGAAAUGUUCUCAUCUGGUGGGUGUGGCCCAGGUGGCUUGAGCUUGGACUAUUUGACCUCUGCAGUCUUCGGGCUGAUCUGCCUCUGAGGGUGGCAGACAGGGCCAGGUAAGAGGAUGAGCUGGUGGAGCUACUAUGGCCUGGCAGUCCGGGACAGGGCAAGCCAAGGGGCAGCUCCAAUGUGACCUGGCGUGACCUGGCCCUUGCAGGCAGGCUCAAUGGUGCCAGGCCUAGAACCAGCAUCCAAACACAGUGGGGAGUAGGGAGAGAGCCUCGGAAACUCCUUCAGAGGCUUCCCAAGCAAACCGAAGAGCCUCCCUUUUCCCCGCCUUCCUCAAGCUUCAGGUGAAGGCUUUGAAAUGGAAAAUAUCCCAGAUGAAAUCCUUCCCUUCAGCCAGGCUUGCAGCCCCUUAGCAGCUCAAGUCCACUUGGGAAGGGGGCUCUUAGUGAAAGAGGUGAUCAACUGAGGCAAGGAAAGACAGACCAGAGUGGGGUGGCCCAAAGGAGCCCCUGGGAUUGGUCAAGCAGAGAAUGGAGGAUGAGAGGAAGGCCUGCCUGUCUGCCACGUGUCAUGGCCCAGAAGAACAUCCCUUUCCCUUCAUCUAAGACAGGAAGGUCUCUAGGUCUGGGGAGGAAGCUAUUCAUGGUUGAUCGGUUGUUGGAAUUUUCUUGCUGUCAGAAUUACCCUAGGCCGUCUGAUGCGGGCUUGGAAGGUAAUGCACUUUUCACUGAGCUGGCUUCAGUCUUUCCCCUGAGAACUCAGGUCAGCUGAGCAUCCACUCUGCCUCCCCUUGACAUUAGGAGGCUGUGGAUUAAUCACACUGUAUUCUUCCCACAGGCAGCCCCUUCCAGGAAAUAUUCCAGAGUGAUACUGAUGACUUACAUUGGGGGUGACAUAUCUGAGCAUCAGCAUGUGCUCUGCAUGCUCCAGGUUUGGGUCCUGAUAGGCCUCCAUGGAUCCCUUGUCCUUCCCACUUUGUCCCAUCCACCAGCUCAUGCCACACAACCCUUGGAAACCAAGUAAAAAUGAGGGGGUGUCUGAGGUUUUUCCAAUUAACUAAAUGAAGCAUACGAUUGAGUUAAGGACUAUGGACUGGAUGGAUUUUUUGAAAUGAGGUUUAAACCCUCAAGUGGAAAUAAAACCAAAACCCACUCCAGCCUUGAUGGGCCCAGGCCCUGUUGGGGAGCAGCAGCCCCAUGUGUCCCUGCAGUGUGGCCUUCUCUCGAAGCCCUUUGCUUCCCUCCAGUAACCUAGGGGCAUAUGGAAUGAAAUCCCAAGAGGCAAUGAAAAAGACGGACCAGCCCUGUUCCCACCAGCAGGCUUGGGUUACUGAGAUUUCUGGCAGAGACUGGAAGAAUAGGGCUAUUUCAAGACAUGGGUCUUCCCCUCUUCAGUAGGGGUCUCCAGGGCUUCCUUAGGUCAGGAAAGACACUUAUUUCUGUCCUGGCAAAAAGGCAUCAAGGUGGGAGGAUGCAAGCCCGUCUCUGGCCUUUUCUACUCUCAACACCUCUCACUCCCCAGGUUCCAGGAGACCUAAACCCCUCUGUUCCAGUACACAGCAUUCCGCCAGCCCCCUUUCUCCUCACUGCACACAGUUGCUGCCUUCCCAAUGAGCUUCUGGUCAUCCAAGAGCAGACAAACUCAUUCCCAUCCCAGAGACCCAGGGGCAGAUGUGUGUUGGACUUGAGUCACCCAGAGAAGGCUAUUUAUAAACCACCCCGAUAAGCACAAUCUGCCCUGCUCGGCCCAGGCCACAUGGGCAUGCUGUGUGUCUGGUGAUUCCACUGCUAAGCUAACCCUCCCAGCACCAUGACAGCAAACUGGACAUUUCCUGUACCAGCCAGGCCUGAAAAGUAGGCCUGGGAAGGUGCAGGAGGCUCAGGAGCCAGCCAGCCAUUGGAAGGGUCUGACUUACAAGCUAUUCUGACAGCAAGAACUUUCACUGUUUUUUUUUUUUUUUUGUAUUAAAUUGACCCAUUUCAAGAAGUGUUCUUGUAACACAGUGGUCAGCGAACUUUUUCUGCAAAGGGCCAUAUUGUAAAUGUUUUCAGUUUUGCAGGCCAUAUGGCCUCUGCUGAUAGAGUAUAGAAGCAGCCUUAGACAAUAUGCAAAUGAAUGAGCAUGUCUGUGUGCCAAUAAAACUUUAUUUACAAAACCAGGUGCUCAGACCACACACCAUAGUUACUAGCCACUAGUGUAAAGGGAACUCAAAUGCUGGAAAACAGGACCUCACUUACCACACACAUCUGUUUAAUCUCCCCAGGUUCCUAUACUUAUGGAGCUACGCGGAAGGCCUACACAAUGAUUCUUCUUAAGGCUAUCUAGCUUUCCACACACAUUGACCACUGCCUUACUCAAUGAUCAAUUCUUCUCCACUAGAAAAUUAAAGAGCCAGGCUGCCCAAAGGUGACAGGAGAGUGAACUCAGGACCCAAGCCUUCUCCAGCUCACAAACCUACCCACCUGAGGAAGAUCAGUGACCAGAAGCUGGCCAGACACGGGAAGUCCGUGAAGCUUACCUAAAUAGAGACCCAGCCGGGGGAAACCAAAUGGUGUUCUUGGUGGGGAAGAGGCAAACAGUCCGCACUGCAACACCCGCGUGGUGUCAAGUAACAGUCAGAUUAAACAAACAGCCUCAGCUGCUAUUUUUACAUCCAGAUCAGCCACGAGUAACAGAUCACUUGGGGAGUGAGAAAUUGCUUGCUGCUUAGCCGGACCCUAACCACGAUUCCAACUUGAAUCCAGAACGAUUGCUAAAGCUGUUCCAGCACCUAGAGUCAAAUAAAAAUAUCCCAAGGUGGGAAGGAAAACAUUUGUUUAGGGAAACAUUAAAAACAGGAGAGUGUGUGCCUUGGAGCCAGCGCCUGGAGCCCUGCUGAUGUCCCGGGGCAGAAAUAGCCCGUUUCAUCAUCGGCUCUGGACGACCGCUGCCCGCAUUCCUCGAGAGGAGAGCGUGACCUUAUGUCUUGUUUAGGAUCCUAGGAACGGCAAGCUUUGCUCUGCGGCAGGAGCGAAUGGUGUUUGCUUCAAGUGGCCGAUUGAGGAAAGAGCACCGUGGGAUGGCUGGGGAAUGUUCUGGGGACCAGACAGUGGCGGGUAGCUUUGUCAAUGAUGUCAGCAGGAAGGGUCUGGAGAGAAUAAUAAAACCCAGUUGACCCAUCUGAGGGCUGUCCUGGGAGCAGGCAGCCCUCAGAGCUUGGCUGGAGGUUCCAGCAAGCCUGAGCAUGGCUGACCCCUGCAGAAUCUGAUUUCUCCUGGAAGUGCUCCUACCUGCCCCUUGUAAUAGACUCCAUGUCUGUGCCAGUUACAGUGGGCACCCUGGUGCAGACCAGCCCCAGCCACAGAACUCAGCCCAAACUCCAGACCAAGAACACUCAGGGUCUGCAUGGCCCAGAGCUGGCAUCUGUCCGGGGUACUGGCCCAGGCAAAGUGACCACUCUCGUCCAGUCCAGGAGCUGUGAGCUGCAUGGAAAGAAUGUGAAUGAAGACACAACUCUAAAUGUGGAACCAUGAACGCUAUGUGAGCCAGUGAGUUCCCUAGCCGUCCAGAAAAACAAGGCCCACUUGUACAUUCUAAAAGUGCAUAAAUAAAGCUGUCCUCAGGCGGCAUGCUCUGGUGGCCCAUUCUUGCAGUGGCUUCACUGGCUGUAACCCUCAGCAAGGCCUCUGGAACGCUGUGAGGGCAGCACGGCCACCCAACAGAGUGGGGAGGAGAAGGUCUAGCUAUGGCCUUGCUGCAUCUGGUAAUUGCGAACUUAAUUUUGCAGCAAAUUUAAUCUGCUCCGCAUUGGUAUUAAUUAGAAAUGUUCAAAAGCUGGCAAUAAGGGUAGUGCACAAUAGGUCCUUCCGGCCAAUUUCUGGUUCUAGGUAUUUGAAGUUCACAUCCCUGCAAAUAACAGGAAGCCACUCACCUGAUUCUUCUAGCUUUGUAUCCUGGUUCUGUGACUUCCUGUUGGGAGACAUUUCUUCACUAUCACCCAGCUUUCCUUAGGAGUCACUUCCAUAAUGUUUUUCAGGAGGGUGUUGCAUUUCCCUAUUUGAUAAUAAAAGCAAAAUGAAAGUGCAAGCCAGCGCAUAUAGGAUGCUUACUUUGUGCCCUACAUGGUUCUAAGUCCUCACAUCAAUUAACCUACAUCCUGCAUACUCCUGAUCAUAGGUCCCUGCAUUAUUCUGUCCCAUCCCCAUGAAUCACUGUCCAUCGGGGAGCUAGGGAAGGAUGAGAUAUGGGGAACUGAUAUUUCCUGAGCACUCACUAUAUGCCAGGAAAACACUUUCUGUGCUUUUGUUCCACAAAAUCCUCAGUCUUUCUGUAUGAAGGCAGCUAAUGUUUCCUUUCUUUUGUUUUGCUUUAUUUUGUGUUGUUUUCUUGAGACGGAAUCUUGCUCUGUCAUCAGGCUGGAAUAUAGUGAUGCGAUCUCAGCUCACUGCAACCUCUGCCUGCUAGGUUUAAGUGAUCCUCCUGCCUCAGCCUCCCGAGUAGCUGGGAUUAUUGGCAUGCGUCACCUAUAAUUUUUUGUACUUUUAGUAGAGACAGAAUUUCACCAUGUUGGCCAGGAUGGUCUCGAUCACUUGAGCUCAUGAUCUGCCUUCCUCAGCCUCCCAAAGUGCUGGGAUUACAGGCAUAAGCCACCAUGCCUGGCCUAGUGUUUCCUUUUUACAGAUGAGGAAAAUGAGGCUUACAGAGGUCUCGGGAUGCCACAGCUAAUAGCAGCACAGAGGAUGCAGACAAGGGCUCGCCUGGCCAUCUAUCUAGCUAGUACUCUCCCAGCCCAAGUGCAGGACAGAGCCUUCUCUGACCCAUCUGUUCAUCUUGCCUCUCCCUGCAGUGAAGGCAAUGCCUGCAGGGCACCUCCUUAACUAGUGAUUUGUUAUGGGGAUUCUGUGCCCACUGUAAGCACAGCACGAGUGUGUUUCCGGGGCUGAUGCUGAGAUGGUGCCUCAUUGGAGGAGGGUGCUUCGGGGGCUCAGGCCCCGCUGGGCUGGCCGCCUGGCGAGGGGUCUGAGCAGGAGGACCCCUCUUGCAGGAGCACUGGGUUGGUGGGGUUGUUGCCUGCUAAUGUCUAACUCAGAAGGGCUGGAGUUAUGGGGGCAGGGCCCUGUUUGUAGCUCAUAGCUUGAAAGAGCCCAGGUUGCCAAGGUCCCUUCUACAGGGUUGCUCUUCUCCCCAUCUGACCAGCCUGGUGCUGGGAUGGCAGCUGUCACAGUCAACUGACGGUCACGCUGGCUGGGGACUCUCCUCAAGGCGCUUCCUUCAGGAUUCUUUGCUUAGGACUUUACAGUGGAAGGCUUAGACGUAAGAAAUAGAACCUGUGCUGUGAAAUGAAGAAAAUUCAGUUCACUGAAGUACUAACAAGUCUCACAACAAAGCCAUGGCAAGCAGAUGGGAGGUUGGCUUCCUGGUGGAUCUGGGUGCAGUGGCUCACCUCUCCACACUCAGAGGGAUCUGGAAACCCAGUGUGAAGAGGAGCUGCUCCCUAGAGCACAGGUUGACAAAAGUUUUUUGCAAAAGACAAGAUGGUAAAUAUUUUCAGCUUUGCAGGCCAGUGGGUCUUUGUCAAAAGAGCUCAGCUAGGCCAUGGUAGCACGAAAGCAAUUAGAGACACUCUAAACAAAUGGGAGUAGCCAACACAGUAAAUGAAACUUCAGUUUCAGAGUUUAAAAGAAGAAAGUUGAAUUUCAUAUAGUUUCAAUGUAUUAUAAAUAUUUUUAUUUUGACAUUUUUCCCUCAAUUAUUGAAGUGUGUACAAACCCUUCUUAGCUCACUGGGCUGUCCCAGAACAGACAGCAGAGGGAUUUGGCUCAUGGGCAGUUUGUGACCUCUGUCCUAGAGCCACUUUGUCCACUUGAGUGGCCACCAACCCUAUGUGGUUAAUGAGUACUUGAAACUGCUUGUCAGGUCUGAAUCAAGAUGACCUGUGAGUGUAAAAUGCACACUGGAUUUCCUUAGGACAAAAGUCUUGAUGUUGACAUGAAAAUGCUUUGGAUAUUCUGGGUUUAAUUGAAUACAUUGUUGAAAUUUA